CAGUGACACUGGAGAUGCGCGUUCAUGUGAAUUCUCCAUUUUGUUCUUUCAGUCUUUGAACGAAUACAACGUCGCCCGGUUGGAAUAUUAUCGCUAUUUUACGAGAAAAAUCGCAUAAAAAUUGAUUUUAAACAGCGUUUGACAUGCUUCGAAGUACGGUAAUGGAAUAUUUUGAAUUUUUUUGUCAUUGUGACCUGAAUACACGAACAAAACGGAGCUAUUUCAAUAUAACUAUGGAUUAUUUCGAACCAAAACAACAUUUGUUGUUGAAGUAGAAGUCCUGGGAGUGCAUUCUGACGAAAAACAGCAAAGGAUUUGGACCUGUUCCCGGGAAAGCAGUAUGUCGGACGCGUCGGACUCGUUAAAGGGGGAAAAAAACUUCUGCCAGUUUGUGGGCCAUGAUGAUAUGGACGAGACUUCCAAAUCGAAGAAAAGACACAUGAUGACCACAAUUUGAAUGCUGCAACUGAGAGAGAAUGAUGCUGAGGGACACACGUCGAGGGACACGCAUUGAGACCCC
rnacentral:lncRNA from 1 species